GACGAACGCUGGCGGCGUGCCUAAUACAUGCAAGUCGAGCGGGUUUGUCCUUCGGGACAAGCUAGCGGCGGACGGGUGAGUAACACGUAGGUAACCUGCCUUUAAGACUGGGAUAACUAUCGGAAACGAUAGCUAAGACCGGAUAACUGGUUUUCUCGCAUGAGAGAAUUAUGAAACACGGAGCAAUCUGUGGCUUAGAGAUGGGCCUGCGGCGCAUUAGCUAGUUGGUGAGGUAACGGCUCACCAAGGCGACGAUGCGUAGCCGACCUGAGAGGGUGAACGGCCACACUGGGACUGAGACACGGCCCAGACUCCUACGGGUGGCAG
rnacentral:rRNA from 1 species